rnacentral:rRNA from 1 species
UACGUAGGGUGCAAGCGUUGUCCGGAGUCAUUGGGCGUAAAGAGCGUGUAGGCGGCCUGAUCAGUCCGCUGUAAAAGUCCAGGGCUCAACCCUGGAAGGCCGGUGGAUACUGUCAGGCUAGAGUCCGGAAGAGGCGAGUGGAAUUCCUGGUGUAGCGGUGAAAUGCGCAGAUAUCAGGAGGAACACCGGUGGCGGAGGCGGGUCUCUGGGCCGAUACUGACGCUGAGGAGCGAAAGCGUGGGGAGCGAACAGG